rnacentral:rRNA from 1 species
GGUUAUGCUCUCUGGCAACGCCCAAGGAUGAGGCCGCGACCGAUCAGGUUGUUGGUGAGGUAAUGGCUCACCAAGCCUUUUACCGGUGCGGGCCGUGAGAGCGGGAGCCCGGAGAUGGGCACUGAGACAAGGGCCCAGGCCCUACGGGGCGCAGCAGUCGCGAAAACUUUGCAAUACACGAAAGUGUGACAGGGCUAUCCCGAGUGCCAUCCGCUGAGGAAGGCUUUUACCCAGUCUAGAACGCUGGGGGAAUAAGGAGAGGGCAAGUCUGGUGUCAGCCGCCGCGGUAAUACCAGCUCUCCGAGUGGUGUGGAUGUUUAUUGGGCCUAAAGCAUCCGUAGCUGGCUAAGUUAGUCCCCUGUUAAAUCCACCGAAUUAAUCGUUGGUUUGCGGGGGAUACUGCUUGGCUAGGGGACGAGAGAGGCAGACGGUAUUUCCGGGGUAGGGGUGAAAUCCUAUAAUCCCGGGAAGACCACCAGUGGCGAAGGCUGUCUGCUAGAACGCGCCCGACGGUGAGGGAUGAAAGCUGGGGGAGCGAACCGGAUUAGAUACCCGGGUAGUCCCAGCUGUAAACGAUGCAGGCUAGGUGUUUGGACGGCCACGUGCCGUUCUAGUGCCGCAGGGAAGCUGUUAAGCCUGCCGCCUGGGGAGUACGAUCGCAAGAUUGAAACUUAAAGGAAUUGGCGGGGGAGCAC